CGUGGGGGCGUGCCGGGGCAGGGGCUGCCGCGCCCGCCGCCGCUCGCCCGUCCUCCCGCCCGCCGGAGCGCCUGCGGCCCCCGCACCUCGCACCCCUCCCUCCCCAGCCCCCGCUCCGCGUCCGGCAGGGAACAGGAUGGCGGAGAGUGAGGCCGAGACCCCCAGCACGCCCGGGGAGUUCGAGAGCAAGUACUUCGAGUACAAUGGGGUGCGGCUGCCGCCCUUCUGCCGGGGGAAGAUGGAGGAGAUCGCCAAUUUCCCGGUGAGGGACAGCGACGUCUGGAUUGUCACCUACCCCAAAUCAGGCACAGGCUUGCUGCAGGAAGUGGUAUAUCUAGUGAGUCAGGGAGCUGAUCCAGAUGAGAUUGGACUAAUGAAUAUAGAUGAACAACUUCCAGUCCUAGAGUACCCUCAGCCUGGUCUGGACAUCAUCAAGGAACUAACAUCUCCUCGCCUUAUAAAAAGCCACUUACCAUAUCGAUUUUUGCCUUCGGACCUCCAUAAUGGCAAUUCAAAGGUAAUAUACAUGGCUCGCAACCCUAAAGACCUGGUGGUGUCUUAUUACCAGUUUCACCGCUCCCUAAGGACCAUGAGCUACAGAGGAACAUUUCAGGAGUUUUGCAGAAGGUUUAUGAAUGACAAGUUAGGAUAUGGUUCGUGGUUUGAACAUGUGCAAGAAUUUUGGGAACAUCACAUGGAUGCCAAUGUACUUUUUCUCAAGUAUGAAGAUAUGCAUAAGGACCUAGCAACAAUGGUUGAGCAACUGGUGAGGUUCUUAGGAGUUUCUUACGACAAAGCACAGUUGGAAUCCAUGGUGGAACACUGCCAUCAACUCAUUGAUCAGUGCUGUAAUGCAGAAGCACUUCCUGUUGGCAGGGCACAUUGAUCUUUACUCUGAAGAUAACCCUGAGCUGCUGUGAAAGCAGAACAAUGGUUAGAUAUGUUACUUAUAUUUGACUGUUAUCACAUCCUAAUUUACACAGUUGCAUGAUUCAAAUCAUAAACCAGGACGAGUUGGCCUAUGGAAAGACAUCUUCACUGUUUCAAUGAAUGAGAAAUUUGAUUUAGUUUAUAAACAGAAGAUGGGAAAAUGUGACCUCAUGUUUGAUUUUUAUCUAUAAAAAUGCAUGCAUAUGAUAUCCAAAUAUAGCUAGAAGUGCUUUAUGCAUUCAUUUAUUACCUGCUGGACAAACUACUGUGGCUAUUAUAUGUAACAAGAUUUAAAGAAAGAAAAACAAUCUUAAGUAAACCAUAUCAGAUACAAUUAUCUUUGAUCCUAAACAGCUGUUUAUCUUCUGGUAUUUUAAUCCUUUGUCCACAUGCAAGAACUUCUUAGACUAUACUAGAAUAUUCAGCUGUUAUGGAAUGUAUUAUAUACGUAUAAGGUAUGUAUCAUAUAUGCAACUAGAAUGUACACCUUUUCAGCCCCACAUUGAUUAUUUAAUGUGUUUUAUAAAAGCUUUUCACUAGAACCGAAAUAAAUGUCCAUAAACCAAAUAAAAAAUUAUUGCAGAGGGAAACAAGUAACAGGCCAAAACUGUAUGCUAGAAUGAUCUCAGGGGUUAAACGUCACAUUUAUUUUUAUAGCAGGUGAAUCGAGUAUAAAUAAAUCCCAUUCCAAAAUAGUAACUAAUCAAAGUGGGGUUCACAUUAGCUUCUGCACACCUUUAUCUGUAUAAUAUGAGUAGGUUCUGUGCACUGGCGUACUCUGCAAGACGGGGCUUGUUAUGAACUAUAGCUGCGAUUGUCACUUGAAUCCCAAAACCCACCCAUGCUUUCAUGGAUGACAGCACACAGCUGUCUUCCUGAUGGAAGAAGUUCAGCUCCAUGCCGAAGGCCAGCAAACAGAAGCUCCUUAAGCCCCCAACUCUAAUUCAAUCCCUCAAAAUGGGGCUUAAAAGCAAGGCAUCUGGUGCUGGGUCUUUCUUGAGGAAUCGGUGUCUCUGACCUAUAUCAUUUCACUGUGUAGAUGUGAAUUUCACCCAUUACAUACGGUAAGAGAAGAUAAGGUGCUGGGCAUCCUCUAGUUGACGAAAAAUUAAGGGCACUUAGCGCUGUUGGUGGUUUGUGCUGCUGGACUCCAUCAGACUAAAGUGGAAGAUGGAUAUACAGGCCACUGUAAGCAGGCCGAAGAAACUGUGGCACUGAAGGAAGAGUUUAAAAAUACACCACCAGAUGGGAGUAUUGCACAAGUAUUCAUGCAGAGUAAUUUCAGUAAUCUUUGGCCAUGGCUGGUCUGGAUUGUAAGCAGGAUUCAAGUUUAUUUCUGUAUCUUUUUUAUUGUCUACAACAGGUACAUAAGCAGCCUGAAGCAGGCUGCUAUCACUAUAAAACUCUCCAGAAUUGUUUUAUUGUUAGGUAAUGACAACUAUGCUUUAUAGGUUCUCAGCUGCAGAAGGCCCGUUUUUGCUAGUCAAAUACUCAGUCUCACUAAAAGCCGUGAGGAAGGACUAGCAGAUUUUUAGUGUUUCAGUUAUGUUGGAAACAAACUGUCAGUUCAGCAACUGGCAAGUGGUGUAGCAUGAUGUGGCUUGACAGCACUUUUCCUUGUAUAUUUGUGAGUGAAAAUGCUUUCAGUGAAAUUUUAUUUCUAUUUUUAUAUUUUUAGUACUGUAUGAAUAUUAAGCACUACACAUUCUACUUCUGUGCUUGCUUGCUUAUUGAAUAAAAGAUGUGUUCCGUG